GACGAAGGUGGCGAGCGUUGUUCGGAAUCACUGGGCAUAAAGCGCACGUAGGCGGUGCCGUAAGUCAGACGUGAAAUCCCUCGGCUUAACCGGGGAACUGCGUCUGAUACUGGAUGGCUUGAGUUUGGGAGAGGGACGCGGAAUUCCAGGUGUAGCGGUGAAAUGCGUAGAUAUCUGGAGGAACACCGGUGGCGAAGGCGGCGUCCUGGACCAACACUGACACUGAGGAGCGAAAGCCAGGGGAGCAAACGGG
rnacentral:rRNA from 1 species